GUGGGGAGGUUAACUCCCAACCCCUGUGAACAUACCAAUUGUUGCCUCGGCGGAUCAGCCCGCUCCCGGUAAAACGGGACGGCCCGCCAGAGGACCCCUAAACUCUGUUUCUAUAUGUAACUUCUGAGUAAAACCAUAAAUAAAUCAAAACUUUCAACAACGGAUCUCUUGGUUCUGGCAUCGAUGAAGAACGCAGCAAAAUGCGAUAAGUAAUGUGAAUUGCAGAAUUCAGUGAAUCAUCGAAUCUUUGAACGCACAUUGCGCCCGCCAGUAUUCUGGCGGGCAUGCCUGUUCGAGCGUCAUUUCAACCCUCAAGCCCCCGGGUUUGGUGUUGGGGAUCGGCGAGCCCUUGCGGCAAGCCGGCCCCGAAAUCUAGUGGCGGUCUCGCUGCAGCUUCCAUUGCGUAGUAGUAAAACCCUCGCAACUGGUACGCGGCGCGGCCAAGCCGUUAAACCCCCAACUUCUGAAUGUUGACCUCGGAUCAGGUAGGAAUACCCGCUGAACUUAAGCAUAUCGUG
rnacentral:rRNA from 1 species